rnacentral:misc_RNA from 1 species
AAAGUCGUAACAAGGUAUCCGUAGGUGAACCUGCGGAUGGAUCAUUAUCACGUAUCCACGUAUCAACCAUUGUGAACUGUACCUACCUUUGAAAGGAGUAUGAGUGAUAAGAGUUUUUUUGUGUAACAACGAGAAAGCUUUCCUUUCAGAGUGUAUUUUAUCACUUUAAUUAACAAUUUUAACUAAUUAUUAUACUUUUUGUCUGAUAUUAUUUCUUACUCUCUCGGGAGAAGAAAUUCAUUACGAAACAAAGAACAACUCUUAGCAACGGAUAUCUUGGUUCUC